rnacentral:rRNA from 1 species
GAGUAAUGUCUGGGAAACUGCCUGAUGGAGGGGGAUAACUACUGGAAACGGUGGCUAAUACCGCAUAACGUCGCAAGACCAAAGAGGGGGACCUUCGGGCCUCUUGCCAUCAGAUGUGCCCAGAUGGGAUUAGCUUGUUGGUGAGGUAACGGCUCACCAAGGCGACGAUCCCUAGCUGGUCUGAGAGGAUGACCAGCCACACUGGAACUGAGACACGGUCCAGACUCCUACGGGAGGCAGCAGUGGGGAAUAUUGCACAAUGGGCGCAAGCCUGAUGCAGCCAUGCCGCGUGUAUGAAGAAGGCCUUCGGGUUGUAAAGUACUUUCAGCGGGGAGGAAGGUGUUGUGGUUAAUAACCGCAGCAAUUGACGUUACCCGCAGAAGAAGCACCGGCUAACUCCGUGCCAGCAGCCGCGGUAAUACGGAGGGUGCAAGCGUUAAUCGGAAUUACUGGGCGUAAAGCGCACGCAGGCGGUCUGUCAAGUCGGAUGUGAAAUCCCCGGGCUCAACCUGGGAACUGCAUUCGAAACUGGCAGGCUUGAGUCUUGUAGAGGGGGGUAGAAUUCCAGGUGUAGCGGUGAAAUGCGUAGAGAUCUGGAGGAAUACCGGUGGCGAAGGCGGCCCCCUGGACAAAGACUGAC